CAGCCGCCGCGGUAAUACGUAGGGCGCGAGCGUUAAUCGGAAUUACUGGGCGUAAAGCGUGCGCAGGCGGUUAUAUAAGACAGAUGUGAAAUCCCCGGGCUCAACCUGGGACCUGCAUUUGUGACUGUAUAGCUAGAGUACGGUAGAGGGGGAUGGAAUUCCGCGUGUAGCAGUGAAAUGCGUAGAUAUGCGGAGGAACACCGAUGGCGAAGGCAAUCCCCUGGACCUGUACUGACGCUCAUGCACGAAAGCGUGGGGAGCAAACAGGAUUAGAUACCCCAGUAGUCCCUGUCUCUUAUAC
rnacentral:rRNA from 1 species